GACGAACGCUGGCGGCGUGCUUAACACAUGCAAGUCGAACGGAAAGGCCCUGCUUUUGUGGGGUGCUCGAGUGGCGAACGGGUGAGUAACACGUGAGUAACCUGCCCUUGACUUUGGGAUAACUUCAGGAAACUGGGGCUAAUACCGGAUAGGAGCUCCUGCUGCAUGGUGGGGGUUGGAAAGUUUCGGCGGUUGGGGAUGGACUGGCGGCUUAUCAGCUUGUUGGUGGGGUAGUGGCUUACCAAGGCUUUGACGGGUAGCCGGCCUGAGAGGGUGACCGGCCACAUUGGGACUGAGAUACGGCCCAGACGCCUACGGGAGGCAGCAGUGGGGAAUAGUGCACAAUGGGCGGAAGCCUGAUGCAGCAACGCCGCGUGCGGGAUGACGGCCUUCGGGUUGUAAACCGCUUUCGCCUGUGACGAAGCGUGAGUGACGGUAAUGGGUAAAGAAGCACCGGCUAACUACGUG
rnacentral:rRNA from 1 species